GAUGAACGCUGGCGGCGUGCCUAAUACAUGCAAGUCGAGCGAACAGACGAGGAGCUUGCUCCUCUGACGUUAGCGGCGGACGGGUGAGUAACACGUGGAUAACCUACCUAUAAGACUGGGAUAACUUCGGGAAACCGGAGCUAAUACCGGAUAACAUGUUGAACCGCAUGGUUCAACAGUGAAAGACGGUCUUGCUGUCACUUAUAGAUGGAUCCGCGCCGCAUUAGCUAGUUGAUAAGGUAACGGCUUACCAAGGCAACGAUGCGUAGCCGACCUGAGAGGGUGAUCGGCCACACUGGAACUGAGACACGGUCCAGACUCCUACGGGAGGCAGCAGUAGGGAAUCUUCCGCAAUGGGCGAAAGCCUGACGGAGCAACGCCGCGUGAGUGAAGAAGGUCUUCGGAUCGUAAAACUCUGUUAUUAGGGAAGAACAAAUGUGUAAGUAACUAUGCACGUCCUGACGGUACCUAAUCAGAAAGCCACGGCUAACUACGUG
rnacentral:rRNA from 1 species